AUUCAUAUCUGGCAGGGGAGAUGCCAUAAUCGUAAAAAUGGUUUUCCCAGGUUAAGGCUGAUCCAUUGCACUUCGGAUAUGCUGAUCCCUGUGAUUUCCCCAAAUGUGGGAAAAUCAACUGCCUAAUUUGUGGUAGUGGGGGACUGUGUUUGUGGUUUCCCCUG
rnacentral:snRNA from 1 species